AUCUCAGACACAGGUCCCCUGGUCCAGACCACCCCGCUCGUCACUUUCCUCCAGCGCGUGCAACUCGAAGCACACCGGUCCUAUCCAAAUGAAAAAACCCCUGACCCCAAAUUCUACAUUGACCUAUCUCUCAAGCUUCCUCACCAUCUCUCCACCGUCGAGGCCGCCUUCAACGACCUCACGAGCGGAUCACGUGACCUACCAGUGCCAGUGAAGAAGCUUGAAAAGUUCGUCCAUGAAUACUUCGACGAUGCGAAGGAUCUGGUGCCUCAUGAACCAGAGGAUUUCGUCACAGAUCCCUUUGAGUUCCUCCUCAACGUGGAGAACGAUCAAGUCAGAGAAUGGGCACGUGAGGUGCACAGCCUUUGGAAAACACUAUGCUACAGAGUCUCUGACUCCGUGAGAGAGUCUCCUGACCGGCACACGCUUCUACCGUUGCCGGAACCGGUUAUCAUUCCUGGUUCGAGAUUCAAAGAAGUCUAUUACUGGGAUUCUUACUGGGUUAUCAAGUCAGUGUUCAUCAACUUAUUCAAAUCACAGAUCAGAUUAUAGUUCUUUAUUGUUUCUUCCACUCUUUUUUUAUAUUACGUGUUGACUACGGAACACGAGGUCACGUGUCUUGUCAUGUUAUAUGUGCUUUUGCACGUGCAGAGGACUUAUGACGAGUAAAAUGUUCACUACGGCCAAAGGUAUAGUGACGAAUCUGAUGUCACUUGUGGAGACUUAUGGUUACGCGUUGAACGGAGCUAGAGCUUAUUACACCAACCGAAGGUAACCAAAACUGAUCAUUUUCUAACAGUAAUAUAAUUGUUGUUGCUAUGUUAACAGAAUAUAAUAAAUGUUACUUUGAUAAUGUUACAAGCCAACCACCUUUACUGAGCUCAAUGGUCUAUGAGAUAUAUAACGUAACCAAAGAUGAAGAACUUGUGAGGAAAGCUAUCCCCGUUCUUCUCAAAGAGUACGAGUUCUGGAACUCAGGUUAGUUUUUUCAGUAGAGUUAUAUAAUGAUUUGGUGUGUUGUUCGGUGUAAUGUUGGUAAUAUUAUAUCUUUUAAUUUUGUAGGAAAACAUAAGGUGGUUAUUCGGGAUGCUAGUGGCAAUGAUCACAUGUUAAGCCGCUAUUACGCCAUGUGGAACAUGCCUAGACCUGAAUCCUAUGUUUUUGUAUGUUUCUUGUCUCGUUGCCGCAAGUAAUCUGUUUUUUUUUUACUGUAAAAAUUUGUUUACUCUAUCUCUAUGUGUACCACAGGAUCAAGAAUCUGCUUCAGCGUUUUCGAGUACGUUACAGAAACAACGGUUCCUUCGAGACAUAGCCACGGCUGCUGAAACAGGAUGUGAUUUCAGCACACGAUGGAUGAGGUUACAUUAAUUAUCAAAAAAUGCGACUAAAUAAGUUUAUCUUACUGUCACGCUUAAUCAAUCUCAAAUAAUAUAUGCAGGGAUCCUCCUAAUUUCGCAACGAUGGCUACAACAUCAGUUGUUCCUGUUGAUCUAAAUGUUUUUCUUCUCAAGGUUUCUCUAUUCUAUUAAUUAUGGUUUAAAGAUUUGUAGAGGCAUAUGCUUGAGUCUAGAAAUGAUUAUGUUUUGUGUCGUAGAUGGAACUCGAUAUAGCGUUCAUGAUGGGGAUUUGUGGGGAUAAAAACGGCUCAGAGCGUUUUGUGAAAGCGUCAGAAGCGUAUUUUUUUAUUAUUAUUUUUUUUCUGUUUGAUUUUUGUUUUUAAAAAAAAAAAAAAAAAAAUUUAUAACCGGACCAACCGCGGGCCGCCACGUGUUGUGGGACCCGCGCUACAGUGAUGAUCCAGGUUCAGUGCAGUGUAUUUUAAUAUUUUUUUUUCGAAAACUGUGUGAACUCCCCAUGGAGUUCACUAAUGCAGAUGCUCUUAGAUCCUUGUUUGAGGCUCAUUGAAAAUUUCCGUCCAAUUGCAUAUUGGCUUAGUACUACUACUACAUUGUUGAAAGGAUAAAUCCACUAAUGAAAAAUAAAAAAAGGCAAAAGAGUGCGCAUCCAGGGAAUCGAACCCUGGUCAGUACCGUGGGAGGGUACUAUGAUACCACUACACCAGAUGCGCUUGUGGUUAUUACACCAAUAUAAAACAAUACUAUUUAUAACAUUAAUAUCAAAAAUCUAUACCCCGUCAAAUGCGGGGGGUGAUACCUUUGCCAUUUGAGAUCGCCAAAAUCAAAUCUCAAUCAAAAUCGACGACUUCCCUCGCCCCCCUCGAUCUUGGUCUUCCGAAACCCUAAUCGGAUCGGAUCGGUAAGGCAAUGGACAAAACCACGAGCGUAAUCAGCAGCGCCUCGAUCAACUCCACCGUAACCUCAACGACUUCCAUGGAGAAGAUCAACCAGGCCGCGAGCUGCGUCAGCGCCUCCUUCAUCUCCGCUUUCUUCGCCUCCCUCGAGCGCUGCGCCUGCGUCAACCUCUCCACCUCCCAUGACGACGACGACGACGACGACAACGAGGAGUCCUACCACCGUCCCCUUGCUCUCUCCGCCGCGCCUCAUUCUCACGACACCCUUUAACCUCCCUUUUCAUCUCUCUGGGUAAUUGAAGAUCCUCUCGUGUUUUCUGUGUGUGUGUGUGUGUCUCGCAGCUCCCUGGGUUGAAUUCUCGUAAUGUGCUUAUGGAAAGUUCAGACCUUUUGGAUUGUAAAUGUCAGACGUUGAUUCUCUCUUCUUUCUUUUGUUUUGAUUCUCAUAUGCUUUCUCUAUCUCUGUGUACCUUAUGAUGAUCUUACUUGGGUUUUGAAUGAUUACUUAUGUUUGAUGUUUUCGAAUUAAACAAAUGCUCUAAAGAUCCUUCCUUUGAAGUUUUUUUAUGUGAUCUUUCAAGUUUUAGUGCCGGGACAUGUUAGUGUUUCACUUAGAUUAUGUUAUUUAAGAACUCUGUUAUAGAUAAUGCCUCUCUGCUUAGCACUAGUAAUGGCACAUUUUGGUGUGGGAUUAAGGCGUCAGUAGUGUCAAUGUCGUGUUUAUUUUCAAUUACCAAACAUUCAAACUUUGUCUGCUUAGCUUGAUUCCAAGGAGUCUUCCGUAUAGAGAAAAUAUUGUUCAAACGUCUUUGUCAUGUUAAGAAUAAUGUAUUAUAGGACCAUAUGAUGAUGAUAAGUCACUCUCAAACCUUUUUCCCUUGACUCUCACUUGGUGAUAGAUUGUUUUGUUCUUCAGUUUUCUUGAAUAUAGAUUCUAGAAGGUGCAUCUCUUAUUGCUGAAGAAGCAAAUAUGCUAUCUCAACAUUUGCUUCUUCAGCAAUAGGAGAAGCACUUUGUAAAUUAUGUACAUUUCUAGUUUAGAUUUUUGUACAUAGAGAAUAUCUUGCAAGUCCCUCAAAUGGUGUAACUACUCUGGCUUUAUAUGCCAAUCUAAUGAGAAUGAUUCCAGCAGGGAAGUUGUUAGGGUCACGAUAUUUUUUUCUUUUUUCUCCUAUCACAUCUUGCGUUUAUGUUUUGGGUGUGUUUCAUUUCGUUUUAGGGUUUAGGGAAUCAAAGAUAUAAAAAUAAUCACUUAAAAUGCAUUUUGUAUUGAAAAUGUUGUUACAAUGUUACAUCAUUCAUUUAUCAAAUCGGAAAAGUUUAGUCUGUGGACGGUUUGGCAUGCUUCAUCUAAUUAAGAAACAAAGUAGCCCCUCCUAUGAUGUGUUAAGCUUUAACUAUAAGCUAGAUCUUUUCAAAAUAAGACCACAGUGGUUACUUCUCAAUACAGUGAGAUUUGAACCUUUGAUAUUAUAUGGAAGUCACUUUCUAGUUUAAGAAUUUAUUUAUUUUUUUUGAAAUAUGUAUGUGUUGUUAUUGACCUCUUUGGAAACUGGUGCUUUAAUUAAGAUCAUAGUGAUCCAUCUGAGUCAACAAAAUCUAAUCGUUCUCAUCCUAAAACAAACAAUUGAUUUGAUAGUGAUCCAUCUGAGUCAGCCAUAGGUUUUGGUGACUCCUCUGGAAACCCUAUUCAAAUUCAAAAAUUUAGCAAUGUAUUUACACAAACAUAAGUGUAGUUAAAUCUCCAAACUCUUCUUAUCCUUCUCAUCUCCUUACAAAUCCUCCCUCUCUAUUCCUCUCCUUGCUUCCUUCAUAAACCCAAAACGUUUCAUUCCUCGGUUUGUCUUUUCCUACAUCCAUGGCAAUCUCAGACACAGGUCCCCUGGUCCAGACCACCCCGCUCGUCACUUUCCUCCAGCGCGUGCAACUCGAAGCACACCGGUCCUAUCCAAAUGAAAAAACCCCUGACCCCAAAUUCUACAUUGACCUAUCUCUCAAGCUUCCUCACCAUCUCUCCACCGUCGAGGCCGCCUUCAACGACCUCACGAGCGGAUCACGUGACCUACCAGUGCCAGUGAAGAAGCUUGAAAAGUUCGUCCAUGAAUACUUCGACGAUGCGAAGGAUCUGGUGCCUCAUGAACCAGAGGAUUUCGUCACAGAUCCCUUUGAGUUCCUCCUCAACGUGGA
rnacentral:lncRNA from 1 species